rnacentral:rRNA from 1 species
GAUGAACGCUGGCGGCGUGCCUAAUACAUGCAAGUCGAGCGAACAGACGAGGAGCUUGCUCCUCUGACGUUAGCGGCGGACGGGUGAGUAACACGUGGAUAACCUACCUAUAAGACUGGGAUAACUUCGGGAAACCGGAGCUAAUACCGGAUAAUAUAUUGAACCGCAUGGUUCAAUAGUGAAAGACGGUUUUGCUGUCACUUAUAGAUGGAUCCGCGCCUCAUUAGCUAGUUGGUAAGGUAACGGCUUACCAAGGCGACGAUGCGUAGCCGACCUGAGAGGGUGAUCGGCCACACUGGAACUGAGACACGGUCCAGACUCCUACGGGAGGCAGCAGUAGGGAAUCUUCCGCAAUGGGCGAAAGCCUGACGGAGCAACGCCGCGUGAGUGAUGAAGGUCUUCGGAUCGUAAACCUCUGUUAUUAGGGAAGAAGAAAUGUGUAAGUAACUAUGCACGUCUUGACGGUACCUAAUCAGAAAGCCACGGCUAACUACGUG